rnacentral:rRNA from 1 species
AUGUUUGUCUUUAAAAAUCCUAAAAAAAAUUGCAAAGGAAUCACGGAUGCGAUAUCUUGUUUUUGGUGGGGUGAUGAUGCAACUCACAAGAAGAUGCACUGGUUCGCAUGGUGGAAGAUGUGCAUUCCUAGAAAGCAAGUAGGGAUGGGGUUCAGAGAUAUUCACUGCUUUAAUUUGGCAUUGUUGGCUAAACAGGCUUGGAGACUAAUUGAUAAUCCUGAAUCUCUGUGCGAUGAUUCUAAAGGCGAAAUACUUUCCUGA